CAUCUCUAUAGAAACAUCUCUGAAUCCUACUGCAAUUAUUACUGGUGCUUGGCAGCCAAAAGUGGUGGAUCUGCUGUAUACCCUGAAUCAAUCAGAUGAGAGGAAAUGAAAGUACUGGGUUCAGAACAAGCAAUUUUCCAGAAAGAACAGAUGUGCACACGCACCUGUUCCGAGGUACAGGACAGUGUAAUGCUCAUCAUUGACUGCCAGGACAAUAUCUGCAACAGCG